rnacentral:rRNA from 1 species
AGAGUUUGAUCAUGGCUCAGAAUCAACGCUGGCGGCGUGCUUAACACAUGCAAGUCGAACGGGGUCCAUCCUUCGGGAGAAGACCUAGUGGCGAACGGGUGAGUAACACGUGAGCAACCUGCCCCGAAGACUGGGAUAACAGCGGGAAACCGCUGCUAAUACCGGAUACCCCCAUUGGGUCACAUGGCCCGAUGAGGAAA